GGAGAGGCUGACAGAUUUCAGGCUCUCUGGGAGGAGUGAGAACUGGUAUCUGUCGGGGAACCUCUGCUUCUUAACGAUUUGAUGCAAUCCCACUUUGUUUAUUCUUUUGUUAAUCCCUUACCUUUGUUUUCCGCCCUGAAUUCCUCUCCAUGAACUCUCCUCCUGCUUGGCUGUGAGAAGGACACUAAGUAGAUCCGGUGUUGUCGCCUAAAGCAGACAGUUUCUGUGCUCUGUGUUACAGUGGUGACUGAAGCCUCAACCAGCUGUCCCAGUGAGCAGUUGGGGUCCCAGUUCCUGCAGAAAGCAAUUCCAGAGGCCACAGCAGAGAAUUCAUCCUCAGGCAUCCCCUCAGGGCAAGGAGAGAGCCAGCCCUGGGCAGAAGUAGGGUUUCAGUUCAUUUCCAGACCUGCUGGUGCUGCUCUCCAUGUACAGAGACAAUCUGCUGUUGCUGUCACUACCUCCAGGAGCAAAGAUCUGGGGCAUGGAUCCCAACAUUCCAGCAUUGCAGAUGAGCCAUUCCAGUUUUAAUGUAACAAAAUACCAUAGAAUUUAUUGCUUCAGUGUGUUUUAAAAGAAAACUUUGGGAAAUUAACUUAAAAGUUGCUUUAAAUAACACUCUGGCUAUUGCUAUCAGCAAGUCCUCAGCUGUAUGUUUACAUCCUUUUUUUUCAUGCAAUUCCUGCCUCACUUGAAGCCUUUUUACUGGAAGUUAAAGGCACAGAGUGAGCAAGCAGGUGAUUACAGCCAGUCUCAGUGUUACAGCAGCUGAAUGCUGCCCUGGGGAGUUGUAUUUUACCCCUGGCAGAACUGUAAAAUUCGUUAUUUCAAUUCUGAGAUUACAGACAUUGCAAAAGUGUGUUUUCAUUUCAAAGCACAAUGAAACCAAUUGGAAACACUGAAAUUUUCCAUGAGGCAGAAAUGCUGGAUUUUGUCCAGCUCUUGUUGUGACUUCAUUCUCAUGAAGCCUUUGGAUGUUUGGGGAUGAGCAAUCUAGAACUGUCUCUGAGAAGAUUAUUAAUUCCUCAUUUGGAGCUAGAUGUGAGCAACACUUCAUUAGUCCAGGAUGAACAGUGGGGAAAGACAAAAAUAUUUAUUAACUGCUGAAUAUGUGAGCGUUGGGCAUCCAGAAUACUAAAAACA
rnacentral:lncRNA from 1 species